AACUGCCAUCAGCUGGAAGAGAAAGCUGUGAGCCUGUUCCUCCAAGUUUCUCUACUCAGGGAGCUGUGCUGGGAGAAGUUUUCUGAGAAACCUUUCCUUCCUCCAAUGCUGGUUUUAAAAAAUCCUGCUAAUAUCAUGUUUUCACUAAAAUGAUAUUGUGUGGCUCAAUUCGAUUAGCAAAGAUGUAGUGUUGAAAGUCACCCUCUUUUUUUUUCUCCUGUUUUCACACAUUUCCUUGUUUCUUGGCAUUGCCUAGAUUUAUUCUCCUCUCUUCCCUUUUAGGAACAGAAUUUGGCAUAAAUAAAUGAUAACCGAGAAAAUGGUACAAACACAAGCGUAAACGCAGAGUUUCUCCAGCCUCCCACGGAAGGUCAGGGUGAUUUGUUGUAGGAAGUGGUUACCCGCAAGAAAAAUGGUAGUUCCAGUGGCUGCUGUUUAAUUUGCGUUUUAAUAAGGAAACCCACAUUCUUUCCUUAAUUACUCAAAGUGGAACAUGAACCCCUCAAAGCCUUUCAGACGGCUAACGCACCGAAACUGUUCAGUCAAAAUUGGACUGCUUUGCCAGAGUACUGGCCACAAAAUGGAAUUCGGUACAUUUCAUACCCCAAUGCAUUUAAAUUGUAUGAAGCUGAUAUUUAAUACAAAUGCAAGUACCAGUGGAAACUGCAUACUUAAUAUGCAUUCUCUAACUCUCAGAAUUAAGCAGUUGAUCUAUGGGACACAAAGGGAUCAUCCUUCUCUCAAAGAGAAUAUUUUAUGACCAGGCAGUUUAAAAGGCACUGACAUAAACAACUGUUUGCAGCUCUCUCUCUCAUCUUCAAAAGGCAAAUAGUACAUGUAAGGACAAGCUGUUUUAGACAAAGCAUUUUAGAAAAUCACUUGGAAUGUUUUCCUUUUCCUUUAAGGACAACUGAACUUUUGAUAGAGGCCCAGGAGAGUUCUCAUAAUUUAGUUUAUUUCUCAUAUUUCUUUUUAGGGGGGACAGAGGCAAAGUGUGAGGGAACAACUCUGAAGCCUGCUGUCUCUUGGACGUGGAAAUCUUACUGCUUAAAUCAUAAAGGUGUUAUUUAUGGUUUUUACACCAUGACAGAACAUGCCAGAUUUUCUGGGGCAGUGUCAAUGUUAAAUGAACAGCUAAGUUUAAUUUCAUCACUGUGUCUUUGUAAGAAUUUCACCUAGACAAAUGAAUAAAAUGGAAAACAAGUAUUUCGCUAUAUCCCCUGUCCUAGUUUUUUUAAUUCUUAAUAUUUGGUCACCCUCUUUUAGCUAUACUGAUAUUCGGAAAGCCAUUAUGGAAACGACUUAAUUUUUUUAGGUAUCUGUCUCACAAAUAAAAUGUGCAUCCCAUAUCUCAUUUCUCUCUAAUGCUUGAGGGAGAAGGAAGGCAUUGAUGAAGAGCUGCCUCAUUUUCCAGAGAGAACAGAGGCACCGAGAGCUUGCAGGGACUUUCUAGCUGCAGUGGCCACAGUGUCAGUCCUGAAUUUUUACCUCCUGGGCUUCAGGCUGGGCCCCCUCCCCAUCUGCCCAGCUGGAUGAGUACUCACAGUGGAAUGACGAUUCCAAGAGGCUGGUGCCAUGCACACUUUUUGUUUUGAAUUGGGUUUUAUUAGUCUGUCCACUCACUGAGUGCUAGGUGCUGUCUGUGGAGUUAUAAAGAUAUACAUGAUGCUGUCUCUGCUCUUACAGAUGAUAUAUUUACCGAAGCCAGGCAUGCAUGCACUGGACAAGGCAGGGGGAACAUGCCAUUUGCUUCUGAGGAUGCAGACGGUGAUAAGGGUGGCUGUUGUUCAAGG
rnacentral:lncRNA from 1 species